CUUUGCUUGCAGGGGUCUAUAAAACGAAUCAAGAAGGAAUUGUUCUCUUCCCAAGAGGUUAGCAAAGAGGCUAUUAUUUGCUGCUGGUGCUUAUUCAGUCUGCUGACGUUUUUGUAGAAGAGUAAUCUGUAACGAAUAGAACCAAAUAUGAGGUGUGGUUCUUAAAAUGUUCAAUUUUUAUCUCGAUAAAAAUUUUCUAGUGCAUACCUGAUAAGAAAUAAUCGACAUGAAUAUAAACUACAUAACAAAAUUUUUGUUUAUUUUCUUACUUAGUAUUAUCUAGUACUUUUCAAUCCUUUAUGUAGAAUGGAUACCUUUCACCCUACCAAAUAAGCAAUGCUUUAUCAUAAGCUUUUUCUAAACUAAAUUAAUCACAUGGAG
rnacentral:lncRNA from 1 species